CCUACGGGUGGCUGCAGUGGGGAAUAUUGGACAAUGGGCGAAAGCCUGAUCCAGCCAUGCCGCGUGUGUGAAGAAGGCCUUCGGGUUGUAAAGCACUUUCAGUGGGGAAGAAAGCCUUGGGGCUAAUACCCUCGAGGAAGGACAUCACCCACGGAAGAAGCACCGGCUAACUCCGUGCCAGCAGCCGCGGUAAUACGGAGGGUGCGAGCGUUAAUCGGAAUUACUGGGCGUAAAGCGCGCGUAGGCGGUCUGAUAAGCCGGUUGGGAAAGCCCCGGGCUCAACCUGGGAACGGCAUCCGGAACUGUCAGGCUAGAGUGCAGGAGAGGAAGGUAGAAUUCCCGGUGUAGCGGUGAAAUGCGUAGAGAUCGGGAGGAAUACCAGUGGCGAAGGCGGCCUUCUGGACUGACACUGACGCUGAGGUGCGAAAGCGUGGGUAGCAAACAGGAUUAGAUACCCGGGUAGUC
rnacentral:rRNA from 1 species